GGCUUUAUGAGGACUGUAAAGGUCCUCACAAUGAUAAUAUAUUAUGUUCAUUGUUCUCAAAAAACUAUGCUUUUGUUCGAAAAAAUAACAUUUUUUCUGAGGUAUAGGUGUAGUUUUAGCAUAGCUUUAAUUAUCUACCAUAAUUAUUUAUGAUCAUUUUUCAUAAUGAGUCAAGUAAAGGUUUUCACAAAGUUAGAGAGAAUAUAAAUGCAGAUUUCCUAAAAAAAACUUGGCUGGAAACUUGUGUUUCAAACAGUGGCCAGAAGAUGGCAGGUUCUUCUCACUUUCCAACAGAAAAACACACCCAACAGAAAGUCCACACACACAAACAUGCGCACACACACACACACACACACACACACACACACACACACACACAUACUUCACUGCUCUUGUUUUCUGACAGGAGACAGUUCUCAACAUACUUGUUUCUCACCAGGUUUUCUCUCUUAUUAAAACAAACCUCCAGAUGCGAUUGUAAAUUGUUGAAAAGGCCGAGAGGAGGACGAUUUGAUCAGUGACUGCUGAUUUGAUUCACUGCUGAGGAAUCAGUCCAUAACAAAAUGCUUUAAAAAGUAUGAGAAUAUAUAUAUUUCUUUGUCACAAUGCAAUAUAGCCAGAUGUUUAACACCGCUGCAUUGUGGAAAUCUGGAAUCUGGUUGGUCAGAAGUUGUUAGUUAAUUGUUAAUAAAUUUAAUUUGUUGUAUCUUUAUUAAGAGAAAACAGUAACUUGUGGAAGUGUACAUGUCUUUUUUAUUCUUAUUGUUGUCAAAAGAGUUUUUUUAACAUUGUCAUAAGUGAAGCUGUAAAGUUUUACCACAUGUUUAGGACAAAGGAGUUGAUACUUUCUCAAUAACAUGAACUAGGUAAGCUCCAUUUUAUUAUUUUAGCCUAAUUAUCUUUAAAAAAAUAGAGAAAAGAAAGAGAGAAUGAUGAAGGAACUAUAUAUAGCAUCAUUACUGUAAGAUGGAACAGUUUCAUGGAAUGUUAAGUGUCACUAUAAAUGGAGAAAAAGUGUAUCAUUCUUCAAUAGAUAACAAUAAAUGUUGUGGUACAAGAGGA